rnacentral:rRNA from 1 species
GCUUGUCUCAAAGAUUAAGCCAUGCAUGUCUAAGUAUAAACGAUUUUAUACGUGAAACUGCGAAUGGCUCAUUAUAUCAGUUAUAGUUUAUUUGAUGGUCUUUGCUACUUGGAUAACCGUAGUAAUUCUAGAGCUAAUACAUGCAUCAAUCCUCUAUUUGAGGUGUAUUUAUUAGAUUGUAACCAAAGCGGGGUAACCCGGUAUAUGGUGAUUCAUAAUAACUUUUCGAAUCGCAUGGCCUUGUGCCGGCGAUGGAUCAUUCAAGUUUCUGCCCUAUCAGCUUUGGAUGGUAGUGUAUUGGACUACCAUGGCUU